rnacentral:misc_RNA from 1 species
GAUGAAGAACGUAGCGAAAUGCGAUACGUAAUGUGAAUUGCAGAAUUCAGUGAAUCAUCGAGUCUUUGAACGCACAUUGCGCCCCCUGGUAUUCCGGGGGACAUGCCUGUCCGAGCGUCAUUGCUGCCCUCAAGCACGGCUUGUGUGUUGGGCCUCCGUCCUCCUCCCGGGGGACGGGCCCGAAAGGCAGCGGCGGCACCGCGUCCGGUCCUCGAGCGUAUGGGGCUUCGUCACCCACUCUUGUAGGCCCGGCCGGCGCUUGCCGACACAUCAAUCUUUUUUCCAGGUUGACCUCGGAUCAGGUAGGGAUACCCGCUGAACUUAAGCAUAUCAAUAAGCGGAGGA